ACAGUCACACAUUAGACUACCCUGUAGUCCCAGCCGUAAACUAUGCUCGCUAGGUGUCAGGCAUGGCGCGACCGUGUCUGGUGCCGCAGGGAAGCCGUGAAGCGAGCCACCUGGGAAGUACGGCCGCAAGGCUGAAACUUAAAGGAAUUGGCGGGGAGCACAACAACGGGUGGAGCCUGCGGUUUAAUUGGACUCAACGCCGGGAAGCUCACCGGAUAGGACAGCGGAAUGAUUGCCGGGCUGAAGACUCUGCAUGACUAGCUG
rnacentral:rRNA from 1 species